UACGUAGGGAGCAAGCGUUGUCCGGAAUUAUUGGGCGUAAAGGGCUCGUAGGCGGUUUGUCGCGUCGGGAGUGAAAUCCACUGGCUUAACUGGUGGCUUGCUUUCGAUACGGGCAGACUGGAGGUAUGCAGGGGAGAACGGAAUUCCUGGUGUAGCGGUGAAAUGCGCAGAUAUCAGGAGGAACACCGGUGGCGAAGGCGGUUCUCUGGGCAUGUCCUGACGCUGAGGAGCGAAAGUGUGGGGAGCGAACAGG
rnacentral:rRNA from 1 species